GGUUAAGCGACUAAGCGUACACGGUGGAUGCCCUGGCAGUCAGAGGCGAUGAAGGACGUGCUAAUCUGCGAUAAGCGUCGGUAAGGUGAUAUGAACCGUUAUAACCGGCGAUUUCCGAAUGGGGAAACCCAGUGUGUUUCGACACACUAUCAUUAACUGAAUCCAUAGGUUAAUGAGGCGAACCGGGGGAACUGAAACAUCUAAGUACCCCGAGGAAAAGAAAUCAACCGAGAUUCCCCCAGUAGCGGCGAGCGAACGGGGAGCAGCCCAGAGCCUGAAUCAGUGUGUGUGUUAGUGGAAGCGUCUGGAAAGGCGCGCGAUACAGGGUGACAGCCCCGUACACAAAAAUGCACAUGCUGUGAGCUCGAUGAGUAGGGCGGGACACGUGGUAUCCUGUCUGAAUAUGGGGGGACCAUCCUCCAAGGCUAAAUACUCCUGACUGACCGAUAGUGAACCAGUACCGUGAGGGAAAGGCGAAAAGAACCCCGGCGAGGGGAGUGAAAAAGAACCUGAAACCGUGUACGUACAAGCAGUGGGAGCCUCUUUAUGGGGUGACUGCGUACCUUUUGUAUAAUGGGUCAGCGACUUAUAUUCUGUAGCAAGGUUAACCGAAUAGGGGAGCCGAAGGGAAACCGAGUCUUAACUGGGCGUUAAGUUGCAGGGUAUAGACCCGAAACCCGGUGAUCUAGCCAUGGGCAGGUUGAAGGUUGGGUAACACUAACUGGAGGACCGAACCGACUAAUGUUGAAAAAUUAGCGGAUGACUUGUGGCUGGGGGUGAAAGGCCAAUCAAACCGGGAGAUAGCUGGUUCUCCCCGAAAGCUAUUUAGGUAGCGCCUCGUGAAUUCAUCUCCGGGGGUAGAGCACUGUUUCGGCAAGGGGGUCAUCCCGACUUACCAACCCGAUGCAAACUGCGAAUACCGGAGAAUGUUAUCACGGGAGACACACGGCGGGUGCUAACGUCCGUCGUGAAGAGGGAAACAACCCAGACCGCCAGCUAAGGUCCCAAAGUCAUGGUUAAGUGGGAAACGAUGUGGGAAGGCCCAGACAGCCAGGAUGUUGGCUUAGAAGCAGCCAUCAUUUAAAGAAAGCGUAAUAGCUCACUGGUCGAGUCGGCCUGCGCGGAAGAUGUAACGGGGCUAAACCAUGCACCGAAGCUGCGGCAGCGACGCUUAUGCGUUGUUGGGUAGGGGAGCGUUCUGUAAGCCUGUGAAGGUGUGCUGUGAGGCAUGCUGGAGGUAUCAGAAGUGCGAAUGCUGACAUAAGUAACGAUAAAGCGGGUGAAAAGCCCGCUCGCCGGAAGACCAAGGGUUCCUGUCCAACGUUAAUCGGGGCAGGGUGAGUCGACCCCUAAGGCGAGGCCGAAAGGCGUAGUCGAUGGGAAACAGGUUAAUAUUCCUGUACUUGGUGUUACUGCGAAGGGGGGACGGAGAAGGCUAUGUUGGCCGGGCGACGGUUGUCCCGGUUUAAGCGUGUAGGCUGGUUUUCCAGGCAAAUCCGGAAAAUCAAGGCUGAGGCGUGAUGACGAGGCACUACGGUGCUGAAGCAACAAAUGCCCUGCUUCCAGGAAAAGCCUCUAAGCAUCAGGUAACAUCAAAUCGUACCCCAAACCGACACAGGUGGUCAGGUAGAGAAUACCAAGGCGCUUGAGAGAACUCGGGUGAAGGAACUAGGCAAAAUGGUGCCGUAACUUCGGGAGAAGGCACGCUGAUAUGUAGGUGAAGCGACUUGCUCGUGGAGCUGAAAUCAGUCGAAGAUACCAGCUGGCUGCAACUGUUUAUUAAAAACACAGCACUGUGCAAACACGAAAGUGGACGUAUACGGUGUGACGCCUGCCCGGUGCCGGAAGGUUAAUUGAUGGGGUUAGCGCAAGCGAAGCUCUUGAUCGAAGCCCCGGUAAACGGCGGCCGUAACUAUAACGGUCCUAAGGUAGCGAAAUUCCUUGUCGGGUAAGUUCCGACCUGCACGAAUGGCGUAAUGAUGGCCAGGCUGUCUCCACCCGAGACUCAGUGAAAUUGAACUCGCUGUGAAGAUGCAGUGUACCCGCGGCAAGACGGAAAGACCCCGUGAACCUUUACUAUAGCUUGACACUGAACAUUGAGCCUUGAUGUGUAGGAUAGGUGGGAGGCUUUGAAGUGUGGACGCCAGUCUGCAUGGAGCCGACCUUGAAAUACCACCCUUUAAUGUUUGAUGUUCUAACGUUGACCCGUAAUCCGGGUUGCGGACAGUGUCUGGUGGGUAGUUUGACUGGGGCGGUCUCCUCCUAAAGAGUAACGGAGGAGCACGAAGGUUGGCUAAUCCUGGUCGGACAUCAGGAGGUUAGUGCAAUGGCAUAAGCCAGCUUGACUGCGAGCGUGACGGCGCGAGCAGGUGCGAAAGCAGGUCAUAGUGAUCCGGUGGUUCUGAAUGGAAGGGCCAUCGCUCAACGGAUAAAAGGUACUCCGGGGAUAACAGGCUGAUACCGCCCAAGAGUUCAUAUCGACGGCGGUGUUUGGCACCUCGAUGUCGGCUCAUCACAUCCUGGGGCUGAAGUAGGUCCCAAGGGUAUGGCUGUUCGCCAUUUAAAGUGGUACGCGAGCUGGGUUUAGAACGUCGUGAGACAGUUCGGUCCCUAUCUGCCGUGGGCGCUGGAGAACUGAGGGGGGCUGCUCCUAGUACGAGAGGACCGGAGUGGACGCAUCACUGGUGUUCGGGUUGUCAUGCCAAUGGCACUGCCCGGUAGCUAAAUGCGGAAGAGAUAAGUGCUGAAAGCAUCUAAGCACGAAACUUGCCCCGAGAUGAGUUCUCCCUGACUCCUUGAGAGUCCUGAAGGAACGUUGAAGACGACGACGUUGAUAGGCCGGGUGUGUAAGCGCAGCGAUGCGUUGAGCUAACCGGUACUAAUGAACCGUGAGGCUUAACCUUACAACGCCGAAG
rnacentral:rRNA from 1 species